AUGUAGUUGGUAGCCCGCAAUCACAUAUGUUUUUGGCUAUAUUACUUUUUUUUCUGUGUAUAAAUUUUUUAGAAAACGAUAAUUUGGGUAUCCCUUCCGAUACACUUAGCGAUGAUAGUCGUUACGUCAAAGACGACGUACGUGCAACGUGGGUGUAUGAAAUUGAACGAAUCGUACACGGGUGAGGAGGGGGGGGGAGGGAAGGAUAUUUUUAAAGUCAUAAAUGUGUGAACAUUAAAGUAUUGUCGGCAUAUGACCUCGUAUUUAUGCAGUGACAUUUUGUUCUACCAUCAUCAAAUAUUAUUACAUGUUAUUCUGCGGCGAACCGUAUUCGCUCACCCGUCCGUUCCGUCAGUCAUUAAAGUAUAAUCGAGUCCUGUCACGGCUUGAUGUGCGCACAGGUAUGCGCACUCACACCCACACACACACACUCCCGCGCGCACAAUCUAUUUAAAUCGCUUAAAUUGGAUACCACCGGCGCAACGAAUUUACUCGUUGAUUUUUGCCAAGUGUCGAUCUGCCAAGCGCGUUCAACGCACUUCCUGGUUUUGUUAGCGAUUACACGGGAAGUUCGCGGCAAUAAUCAGUCGGGUAUUAAUCAUCGUGCCGAGGCGCUACGAUAAUAACAAAACGAUUGCCUCGGUCUACCCUACAAAAUUGCGCUCGAUAUAACUAUGAUGAGUGAUAAAUUAUCGGGUGCGAAUCCAUUUCGCGCAAAGUGCGUGUCGAUUAAUAGCAGCCACUUUAUUUACCAGAAGAGUAUCUGCAUUGCAUUCCGGACGUGUUCUCUUCCAUAUAUCCAAUAUGUAUUAAUAUCGAUUAAUAUUAUAUAUAGAUGGUAUUUGCUUUCUGUCAUUGCGUUAUCAUAUUCUGUUAAUUCCAUCUGCAGUUCUUUUUAUUUUUAUUAUAUACGUAAUCGAUUUACUACAUUUGUUGUGUGUGUGCAAAUAUUAUCUCCUACAUUGUUAAAUUUUGUUCAAUGUCCCUCGUUGAAUACCAUUUGCUAUUUUAUCCGAGAUAACACGAUAAAUUAAUUAAAACUUGCCAUUUCUUGAAACUAUAUUUUUAUUUCUUUUAUUUAUUGAAUUAUAAAUGAUGAUAUCGUUAUUCUUUGCCGCGUGUGCUCCUAUUUGGACUUACGUUCAGGUUGCAUAAUAUUAAUGUUCCGAUUUUUUAAUUAUUAAGUUAUUUUUGCCAAAAAUAAACGAAGAAAGAAAGUUUGUCGAUGCAUAUAAAAAUAUGAAAUUUUAAAGACCCUUGCUGAAUCUAAAAUCUUUUUUCGCUAUAAUAACGUAUUAUAGUUUUUAUUUCGGUAGUAAAGUAGUCAUGAUUUCGUUGUAAUAUUAAAACGUACUUGAUAAGAAUGGACCAUUUUGCUUUAGCGGCAAAUUCAUUUUUUUGUUAAAAUUUACUCAAUAAGACCUUUUUAUUUUGCUAACAAAACGGAUUUGUGUAAUAUCGAAUAAUCGAUUGUGGCCAAGUUUGAACGUUUUCAUAUCGAAUAUGCAACAGCAGCACCAAUGGUUUUGUUGCGACAGCAAAAUUCUCUGUGCAUAUUUUCGAGAUUUCCAACAACGUAUUUAUGUCGCGAUCAAUGCAUGAUAAAUCUCACAAAAAUAUCUAUACAUUUCAUACCAAUAUGAAUAAUUUUAUGAAGCCAAAUACUUCAUUUAGAUUAUAAAUAAUUCGAGGAUAUUAUCAACGUCAUAGCCUCUAAAUAUGUUUGCGGGUCGAUGUACGGUAUUUUAGCCCGCAUCAUUUUAACGGAUUACCACGGGCUGAUUUCCAAUAGAGAAACAAGCGAUAACUCGGGCUACGCUCGUCUCUCGCCUGUAUUUAUCCGCUCGUUCGCGCAUUCAACCUAGUUUUACGCCGAUCGAUACUAUCGCUCGUUCCUGAUAAAAAUCACACGAGCUCUUUGAUAUCGCGAGAUAAUGCGUCGCAUUAUUUUCGCCUCGCGCAACAUAGGAGAAGAGUAAAAGAAGAUCAUAGUGCGAAAACCGAGACGAGUUUUCAGAUGGAGGAAUUGAGGCCUUUCUUAUAACGCACGUAAAUAGCGUAUCACGGCAUAUUCUUGCGAAGAUUCGCGCUUUUCUCCUCCCUUUUUUCCUCCUCUCUCUCUCUCUCUCUCUCUCUCUCGCGAGCGCAUCGUCUCAAAAAAUUAGAGACUUCAUUGAGAGUGCCAAACAGGAUAAGAUAGACAGAACCGGGCGAGACUUGAUAACUAGAUACAUCACCUGGCUUGGAGCGUGGAAAAGGAUGCGCGGCAGCCGGAGAUCGCUGGGAUUGCAUUUCCAUUAGUUAAUUUACUUUCCCGGGGGGAGAUCCCGUCCUUAAAACUGCCUGCAGCAGUACCCGGAGACGUCCGAGCGCAAAGUAUCUGCAUUAAGCCAGCGAGUCGCGAUUAAAAUUUCCUUCCUUCUCCCAGACAAGUUGUCGUGGGUAAGGGGCGUUAACUUCGCUUCAAAAAACGAAUAAUCGGAUAAUUCGUUCCUGCAUUUGCCUCCGGUAAACACAUAUUUUUCACUUUUAAUUAGUUAACUUUCCUAUAAUAUAUUUCGGAAGAUUGUAAAAUUGUAAAAUUAGACAUCGGUAUUUUCGCAACACCUUUGUGUUUAGCGCUACGCGGAGCUACUUUGAAUCUGAUAUUUUCUAUUGCUCGAUAAGAUCAGAUCACAUUUAGAGUUGGAUAUUGAAUAAGAUAUCUCUACGAUAUCAUUUCCCGACAUUUACGAAUUUACUACGGACGAUUCUAAUUUUUACCACAACUGGAUUGCGCUUAUUUUCGGCACGCGUCGCGAGUAAACGGUCGGUUUAUUUGUCAUCGCGCGACUCCUUUGUCCCUCGCGCAAGGCCCGAGAGCACUAUUUUUAUGAAGAUGUAUCGGCUGCAUCACACCGAAUGUUUACGAUCAUCACGCGGAUGGCUGGGAAAAUGUUUCGGAUACCCGGCGGAUACGCUCAUACGCUAGGCGCCCCCCCCCCCCCUCUCUCUCUCUCCUCCCUGGCUCCCUCUCUCCCUCUCAAAGAACUGUAUCCGGCCGGAGGGUAAACGAAGUCUGAGGGCGCGCACCGUGGAAAGUCGUUCGAUACGGGAAGAAAGAAAAAUAGGAGCCCCUUUGCCGAGAGAUAAAAGGAAUCUAUGGCCGUGUUUACACGGCGCCCCGAGAUUGAAGCUCAUUCGGCCAUCCUCGCUCGCUUUUAAAUAAAACUCCGAGUUUAGCGCCGCCCAUGCUCCUGCUGCUGCUGCUGCUGCAUCACGCCCGUUCCGUGACCAUGCGCGCCGCACUCAUCGCCGCCGCACCGUUUGCCCGUUCCCAUAUUUGUUGAUCUUGCGUGACGCGAGAUAAUACUGCAACUGUCAUCCGCGCCCAGUGUUUCUCAUACCCAGGCACCGAUAGACUAAUCAUACUUUACUUGAUAAAUUCGAGGUACGCGAACACUUUUCAAGAGUUCGAAUGUAAUAACAAAAAAAAAGAUGAAUCUGUUUUUAAAGGAAAACCCGUAAUUUUGCGUAACGAAAGUGACGUUGUCGAAUCUCGACGAGAGAAGUAAAAGCCCCCCCCCCCCAGAGAGAGGGAAUCUUUAUCUUUGCAUAUAACGGGAAGUGAUGUCACAGCAGUCGCGGCCCAUCGGGCGCAGCGAGAAGACGAAGCGCGCGAUGUAAUAUCCACGACGGGAACAGCAGAAUAAUGGAAAAAGAGAUGAAUGGUUUUUGGGCGCGUGUCGCGCGGCGGUAAAAUAGCACGACGUCCUCUCCGUGAUAGGUGGCACUAACAUUGCACGGAAGAUUAACGCAAUUGUCACUUCAACCGGCUUUAGUAAUGGCCGAGGGAUUUAACCGGACACUCCGCGGGGCGCGAUAAUUACCACGUCGUCGAAAAUGACCGGCGAACGAGCGAUAAAUUCCCCCUCUCGUCAUCGAUAUUCAUUUUGUUAAUAAUAAUUUCUAUCGUAAGGUUUACGAUAAUUACUUUUUAAUUGAUAUAAGCACAUCCAUCAAUCUCAUGUUACGAUGCUCAAAUGGCCAUCUCUCGGCGUGCAGGUGUCGCCCGAGUGUCAUACGUCACGAUUACGCUCGCGAGUACAUCAGCGCGUACCAGUUCACAAUCACACGUCCAAACACACAUACGGAUGCAAUCCUCAAGGGGAUAUUAAAGUUGUCUUGUUUUACCGAUCAAUUUGAUUAUUUUUACAUUACUUCUUCGAUUACGUUUUAAUUUACAUUAUGCUACCGUCUUGCACCUUAAUUGUGGAAAAAUAUGUUUAAUUCUGUAAACGCAAAAGAAGAUUAGUGAAUUAGAAAUGAUCAAAUUGAUCGGUAAAACGGGACAACCUUAGCAUCCCCUUAAUAUAUAUCUUCUAACUAUUUAAACUUUUUUAUUUAUCUUUUAGCGGUAUUUUCCGAGCGAAAGGAAAAAAAAAAGUUGGAAAGUUCUGAAUGAAAUAAGGCAAAUGCGAUAUCAUCGCCAAGUUAUUUCGACUAGUCCGUAAUCCGAUGCUGAGCAUGCUCAUCUAUCACCUGAAGCAGAAAACGUGGCUAUCGAUUUCCCACCGACGUCAAUAAUCUCGCGCGACGUCGUCGCGACGAUGCAUCAUGCAGCCGAACGGCUUCAUAAGCAAGCCGGACGUCGUUUAAUUACCGGCCCGAGAUGUUAUCUCGCGAUCUAUUAUACACCGACGUCGAGAAAUUUCCAGAGUUCAUGCGAAUGAGAAUGCGAAACCGAGUAACGUAAUUACAUGUAUAUUGGCGACGGAGAAAGGAAAAAACUGGGUUGUGUAAUAAAUAAAAUCGGCUUUAACGAUCAGUUCGUAAAUGACUGGAAUUAAACAACACGAGCGAGAGGUGUUUAUCAAUAUUAAAUUCCGGCAACAAAAUUACGACGAGAGCGAAUUAUUGUGUAUCAAGCGCUGACGGCACAGAUGGAGUCUUUGAUGUUUCGGUCCUGGAUGAACCGAAUGUUUUCGAUUCACGUCGGGGGUAUAACACAAACACCGAGCUGCGACACGCGUUAGACACGCUUUUCACGUACGUCACUCGUGACACGCGGCCGGACUUUAUAACGUCCGCUAUACCGUUCCGUGUCACCAUUCGUUACGUCAUGUCGCACAAUUGGUGACGAUGAUUACGAUGAAAAACGGGCGCGAGAAACGUCUCUCGAGGUUACCGCGUUGAAGAGUCGUGCAUCACGAACGCGCGUUGUCCAGUCAAUUCUACCGUAUUUGGUUUUCACACACACACAGUAACAAUUAACAACAUAAUACUAUUUUUUUAACCGCGCUAUUUCUCGGGAAAUUAAUUUCUUAUACGAUGACCGCUAUUUCGACAUUCGCCGCUUAUUAAAAAACCGAUAUGUGUCUGUCAUGCUCUCGAUAUUUAAUUGCUAAUAAAGAAACUUUGGGUCGAUUCCAUCAGCACGAAUGAAGGACCAAGAUUAAUAAUGUAUAACUAAAAUUGGUAGAUGAUUUUCUUCUAUUUAAAUAAUAUUUUAUAAUGUAGAUCUCUGACAGUAACGAAAUUAGUAAAACUUCUUUGUGAGAAAGAAGCAUUCAGGUUAUCUAAUUCUGAUUGCUUGGGGAAAUGUUAAACUCUCUCGAGACGACAAAACUAGUUCGAUCGCGGUACGAUAACACGCGUGUGUACGAUAAACGGAAGGGAAAUUUUCGUUUACUUCGUUUCGUUUGGAAAUAUGAUCUAUUACUCUGUGGAACCGUGCAGCCAUUUUCUAUUUAUACAUGUAUCGUGUCGAAAAAUAAAUUCUUUUAUUGCACGCUCAUAAACGUGACUGCAUUAUAUUCGAUCCUUGCGUGGCUAUAUAUUCUUCACUGUCGCGUCGUAGAAGUUUGACGGUAAAAAUUGCAAAUAUCGCAGCAGCGACCUAAAUAAAUGCGACCCUAAAAUAACCUAUUAUCUAAAUAGAGCGACUUAAAUAAAUGUUAUUACUGCGCUGAGGAAAAUGAAUAAAAUACAAAAGAGCGCAAUAAUUUAUUUAUGUCAAAUGCUCUUAUGAGAACGAAGAUAAAUUGUUCGUACUUAUAAUACGUAAUUUGGACAAAAUAUAUUUAAUGUAGGGACUACUGAUAUAAUAUCCUUUCAUAGACUUUGAAUGCGAAAUACGAACGAAAAUAGUUGUACGCAGAAUGCGAUCAUAUUCAUGUGGUAUUUUCUCGAUAUCGGAUUAGAUUCAAGUAAUAUCAGCCAUUGACAGUCAUGUUCAUCGUAUUCCUUUCGCAGAUUUUCUCUGCCAUUUUCGCUGAUGCUCCUUCCGCUUUGCUUUCUUCCUCCCCUCCCCUUCCAGUUGUAUAUGCGCUGUCUCAAAGAAAAUAAAGCACUCCGUGAAAUCUUUUUGACCUAAAGCAGCAUUCCUUGGACAGCAUAGCUCGCUUGCAGAAGAAAUUUCGUUUGGAAAUUCAUCGGGGAGUUUUCUCGGCUACGGCUAUUCCCGAACGAGCUUCCUCGCAUUGCUCCGAUACAAUACUAUAUAAUAUCUUUCUUAAAUCCCAUAAAGCUCUUGUAAAACGCAUAGACCGCUGUACCUUAUGGUCAAGGUAAUACGAUAUUGAAAUAAAUCGAAUAAAUGUAUACAGGGUGACACUGAAUAUCAUUAAUGAACAUGUCGAGACAUAUUUCUCUGAGAAUUCUGUUUAUAUAAACUCUUCCUCAAUUUAGUUAUUAUCGGCAAAAGUGACAAAAUAUCGACAACUAACUUG